CAUCGAUCACAAGCUCCUCUUUCACUAUACUGCUGAACUCAACAAUAAAGCAUCAAGUUUGACAUAUAUUUCAUUUGCGCUUAUUGAUAAUCACAUAACAUGUACAAAAGGAUUGUGGUUUUCAAAGCUGAAAAAUAUUCUUCAAUCAACAAGGAAUUAAAAGACAAAAACACACACACGCAAGGGAAAGUGGCAUGGAUUCUCCCCUUUCUACCAUAUGAAUGUUUGAAUCAGUACCUUCUUUCCCCAAUUUUGAACAGAUGUCCAAACCCAGAAAUAUCAAUGCAAUUUGAAACUUGGAAUCAAAAGAUUAAAAGACUCAACAAUUUACUUAGUGGAAACUAAUCAUAUUUUUCUCUCCAGGAAUAAACAAGAAAGAAAACCCAGGAUAGAGCGAGAAGAAUGUCACCAACAAUCUGCCUUAGCCAAUCCCAGGCCAGAUCCUCCACCCUCCGCUCGAAGUAGAAUCUCCACAUCGCCAUUGAGACGUGAAGCACCGUGCACCCCUUGGCGAAAAACCCUUGAAAUUCCCUGUCCUUGACGAACGAAACCAUGAAGAGAAGGAACCCGAUUGCGAAGAGGAGCAAUCCGGAAAACGAAUCGGAGGUCCGAAUCAGGAGCUGAUCGUGCGGCGUAGAGCCCAUUAGCUUAGUGGCAGUGUCGAUCCCAUGGCCAAUCGUGUAAAUCUCCUUCAUAUAGAACAUCAUGAGGGUCCCGCUCGUGAUUGCGACGAGAGAGUGGAGAAGGCAGAUAACCGGGAAAGUCGACGACGACGAUCCCAUUUUGAUCGACGGUGGAGGCGUCGGAAUUAAUUACGGAUUAGGCACCUGCGAACAUGGUUGCUCUGGUAAUAGAAGGAACCCUAGUUGUACAGCUGAAAUUUAAGUUUAUGAGGAAGAUGAUGCGCCGAACGAAACCGUGAUCGGG
rnacentral:misc_RNA from 1 species